rnacentral:misc_RNA from 1 species
AACGCACCUUGCGCUCCUCGGUAUUCCGAGGAGCAUGCCUGUUUGAGUGUCAUUUAAUUCUCAACCAUGUCCUUGUAACGAGGCUUGGCUUGGACUUGGGGGUUGCUGGUGGCAAUGGCCGUCGGCUCUCCUGAAAUGCAUUAGCAAAGGGCAGCAAGUCUGUGGCGUGGCACGGCCUUUUCGACGUGAUAAUGAUCGUCGUGGGCUGGAAGCGUCGGACAUGCAUCGAUUGUCUUGUUUGCUUCCAAAUCACCUUCGAUUGGACUCGGAACUCGACCAGGGUUGGCUUAGCUAUUAGUUGGUCGUGAGGCCGACGAACGCAGGCCGGACUUGGCUUCGAGCGUUCGUGGUCUGGCUAUCGAAACUACCGAAACUUUGACCUCAAAUCAGGUAGGACUACCCGCUGAACUUAA